UACGGGGGGGGCAAGCGUUGUUCGGAAUUACUGGGCGUAAAGCGUGCGCAGGCGGUUUUGUAAGCCAGAUGUGAAAUCCCCGGGCUUAACCUGGGAAUGGCAUUUGGGACUGCAAGGCUCGAGUGCGGCAGAGGAGACUGGAAUUCCUGGUGUAGCAGUGAAAUGCGUAGAUAUCAGGAGGAACACCGAUGGCGAAGGCAGGUCUCUGGGCUGACACUGACGCUGAACGGCGAAAGCUAGGGGAGCAAACGGG
rnacentral:rRNA from 1 species